AGUGAACGCUGGCGGUAGGCCUAACACAUGCAAGUCGAACGGCAGCACAGUAAGAGCUUGCUCUUACGGGUGGCGAGUGGCGGACGGGUGAGGAAUACAUCGGAAUCUACUUUUUCGUGGGGGAUAACGUAGGGAAACUUACGCUAAUACCGCAUACGACCUACGGGUGAAAGCAGGGGAUCUUCGGACCUUGCGCGAUUGAAUGAGCCGAUGUCGGAUUAGCUAGUUGGCGGGGUAAAGGCCCACCAAGGCGACGAUCCGUAGCUGGUCUGAGAGGAUGAUCAGCCACACUGGAACUGAGACACGGUCCAGACUCCUACGGGAGGCAGCAGUGGGGAAUAUUGGACAAAGGGCGCAAGCCUGGUCCAGCCAUACCGCGUGGGUGAAGAAGGCCUUCGGGUUGUAAAGCCCUUUUGUUGGGAAAGAAAAGCAGCAGGUUAAUACCCCGCUGUUCUGACGGUACCCAAAGAAUAAGCACCGGCUAACUUCGUG
rnacentral:rRNA from 1 species